AAGCAGUGGCUGGAGCUAGAGCAGCUAUUUAGGACUAUGAGAUGGAAGAAAUGUGGUGACAAUAGCAGAACAAAAAUAUAGAAAUCUUGGUUCUGAUAUAGGAGGCAUUGUCAUCCCAUUUUACAGACGAAGAGACGGAGUCUCAAGUUUCCAUAGCUGGUGUGCACUUUAGUUCCUCAAGGACAAUAAUGCCCCACCCUUGAGAGAAUGAAGAUACUGUCAUUACCUCUGCAAAGAAUGCAUCCUAGCACAGAUCAAAGAUCUUCCAAGUCCAGCCACACCAUUUUACAGUUCUGAACCUCGACUUAGGAAAGCAGUGGAUCUUUAUACAUUUGACACAUCCCUUCCCUCUAGGAUCUCUGUGGCUAUUGAAAAUGGACUGGAGAAGAUGAGUGGGAGUGAGAAGAGGAUAACAGAAUCAGAUAAAAACCUGUCAUGUUACUAAGAGCAGGAGAUGAGGCAGCCUGGACCAAGAUGGUGGCAGAGAGAAGAAAAUUGCUUGAGAGAAUUGAUUAAACUACUUGGUUAGCACAGAUAGAGCUGAAUCAAAAAUUAGGAUGGUAAGCUAAGUAAUUUUACACACAAAAAGGCAGAGUUGCAUUCAUAAUUAGUCUCUCCUUCAGACUGAAUAUUACAGACAAAAUAUAGCCAUUGGUGUUGCAAUCACUUCCUUUGGGUUUGUAUCCAAGGUUAAGAAUGUCAGCAUCCAAAGACCCAAAUUCUUAAUGUUUUUAGUUGAUAAAGUUUAUUCAAGGUAGACAGCCUGUGUUGAAUAACUUAGUCUUCCACAAAUUUCAAGAAAAAUCCAUUGUCCCUCUUCUCCGCCACAGACACACUUUAGUUGAACAUUAAGCAUAUUUAUUAAAGAAACAUUCUCCUUGUGCUUUUUCUCCCAAGAUGGAUGGUGUUCUUACUUAGAGUUAUAAGUGUCAGAAUAAAAAUGCCCAUGAGGUUGAAUUGUAUGAUGUUAUAGUAAAGUGAGAUAAACAUUCUCAGAAACAUGAUUGUGACUUAAAAAAAAAAAAAACCAACAAA
rnacentral:lncRNA from 1 species